rnacentral:rRNA from 1 species
GACGAACGUUGGCGGCGUGCUUAACACAUGCAAGUCGAACGGAAAGGCCCUGCCUUUGUGGGGUGCUCGAGUGGCGAACGGGUGAGUAACACGUGAGUAACCUGCCCUUGACUUUGGGAUAACUUCAGGAAACUGGGGCUAAUACCGGAUAGGAGCUCCUGCUGCAUGGUGGGGGCUGGAAAGUUUCGGCGGUUGGGGAUGGACUCGGGGCUUAUCUGCUUGUUGGUGGGGUAGUGGUUUACCAAGGCUUUGGCGGCUAGCCGGCCUGGGAGGGUGACCGGCCACAUAGGGACUGGGGAACGGGCCAGAGUGCUACGGGAGGAAGGAGUGGAAGAUAGUGCACGAUGGGCGGAAGCCGGAUGCAGCGACUCCGCGUGGGGGAUGACGGCCUUCGGGUUGUAACCCGCUUUCGCCUGUAACGAAGAGUGUGUGACGGUAAUGGGUAAAAAAGCACCGGCUAACUACGUG